AUUGCAGGCGUGAGCCACAGCGCCUGGCCUGUAAUUAAUAAUUAUUUAUGGUAAACUUUUCCAGUUCAAAUUGCUAUGAAAUUUCUGCCCUGGAAAUGGUCCCAGGAGACAGACCUCCAAUUAUGACAUUUGGGGUAUAUUUUGGUUUACUCCUGUGCUUUGUUGCAGUGCUGAGCUUCUUACUAAUGGGAAAUGAGAUGCUAGGAAUCCAGGGCAUGUGUGGUAUCACAAUUAAUUAAUCAAACUAUUGCCUGUGGUAUAUUGUGACAAAGUGCCAACUGAAGCAAAUUCUUUAAGAGCCCAAGUGACUCUGCCCUUGACCCUAUGGCAAUAAUGAUUCUUAUAAGGAGCAUGGUGUGGGAUAGAUUUUUCUGAGUGCCCUUGAGCACUUACAGAGAAAAAAAAAUAAGCUCUCAGUUCAAUUCACAGCCUAAGGGCCAGAGAGCUACCAUGAGAACCAUAAAAGAAUAUUUAGUGCAGCCACAGGACUGAUAUUGCUAAAUUUGCACAAUAUUUACUUUGUGGGUUGAGUAAAUUACAACAGCAGUGAAAUUGACCAUUUCUCAUGUGAAAUUUAGGGUACCAAUUGAGAAAGAAUGAGAUCUGGACACUUGGAAUGGGGACAUAUAUUUGAACCAAAUGAAAUUGACAACCCUGAAUGGGCAAGCCACUCUGAGGCCUCCGUACCAGUAGAAGUUACUUGCUCUCCCAUGCCUGAAGAGACUAGCCUUCCUUUGCCUGCAAAUCUUGUAAUAACCUCACCUGUAGGAGAUGCCUUGCUAGGGUCUUAUGCCCCAAAGUAAUUCGUGUGAAGUAUAGCAUGCUCGAGAGGAACAGGUGUACACUAUACAGUAAAAAGACUACAUGGCAAAAGAACUGCAAGACCAUGCUAAUAUAUAACCAAUAGAAUCAUGAUGGGGUGGGACAUGUGUGGGAGUGGAUUCAACAGGCGUUAGGCCAAUAAGCAGAGAAUAUAACACUAGAUAAGGCUGAAUUCCUUGCUAUAGGAAACUAACUAGAGAUUUCAGAUUUGAUAUGUUAGCUUGUAAAGUUGCAGGUGACUCUAACAACUUACUUGGUUGAUUGACUGAAACUUGGACACCAAGAGUCCAGACAUUUUACUAGGUGGAGAUACCAGAGCCUACUGGUGAAGAUAAACCAGUCCAGCGUGAUAAAGCAUGGCACUAAGAAAUUCAUUCGUGAAGAAAGUUGAGCAGCUUUGCAGACCAGGUACUGUAAGGGAUUCUGCCAUUGGGAUGGAUUCCCUGAUUUCAACAGGGAUAAUGGGCUCUGGGGUAACAGAAAUCAAAAGAUAGCAUACAAUCACCAAGAACAAAGUGAGCAUAUCUAACUGGCAGGGAUGACUCGUAAUCAGAAUACUCUGGCCUGUAGAGAUCUUUGGCAGUGGCUACUGAACACUGUGUUCCCAGGAAUGAAAUACAUGAGUUGCCUAUCAGAGUUAUUGUUUUAUCUACCCAGUAGGAAAAAAAAAAAAAAAAAAAACCUCUAGAUAUGCAGCUAAAACCCUGACAUAAAUGGAAACAGCUUCUCACCUAUUUCCUAAAUCAAUCCACAGACACAGAGUCCCCUGAACGAAGGAGAAACUGGGUCCAUUUGUGAACGGCUGCACCAUAGCUACAAGUACAUACGGAAUGUUUUCUUGAAUCAGUCAUGCCAUCAGGGCCUCCUUGGCAAAACAUGGUCCCCCUGGAGUUAUGCCACACAGCGUGUCUGCCAUCACACCAGGGAUGCUGAGGCUGCACUGUGAGUCCUGCUCUUGAGUUCUCAGACCAUAUUUUUUAAAGAACAAGAGUUGGAAAACUAUGAUUCAUUGCCAAAUCUCACCGGCUACCAGUAUCUGUAAAUAAAAUAAAAUUGGAACAUAGCCACACUCAUUCAUUCAGGUGCCUGAGGAAGACUGCAUCGCUAGAGAAGCAGAGAAGCUGGCUUUGACUACUGAAGGCUGAUUCAUGUGUGUCAGACAGAAAUGGCAUGGAGAAGAGCAUGACAGAAAAAAGAAUUUAUGUUUGCACAUAGGCAAUAAAAUAUGAGGCAUGUUUGAAUAAGUUUAACAAGUCUACUGUGGUGAAGCAUAGGUAUAUUGCUGAGUCGAGAAGAUACAAAUGAAAAUCAAGAGGCCCAUUGGCCAAGACCGUACAAAUGUUCCUUACUCCAGGCUGAAGGGUUUAUUCUUUAUCCUAUAGGCAUCAAGAAGUAACAAAGCAUUCUUUUAAACCCCAGCAUGACACAGUAGAUUCUAUUUCCAUGAAGAUGAUUGUGCAGGCACAGUAUGAACCUGAAUUGAAAAGCAAGAAGAUUUGAUAAUUGAUAGAUGUUGGGAGAUGACAAAGGAGAAGGUGGUUUGGACAAAUCUUGGUCUCCUUCCCUGAGGGAUUGGAUAGAUUGUGAUGACAAUAACUGAGAUAAGGAGCACACACCAAAAAAAUAGCACAUUGGAGGGUAGAAAGAUAUUAAGUUUGAGGGAGAGUUAGACAGGGCUGUUCAUAAGAUUCAAAACGGUUAGAUUUUAAUGGUAGCAUGGGAAAAAGUUAGGACUGAAGUGUUGUGAAAACUAUGGAAUAGAUUGUAAUUGAAACCAUAAAGUUAGUUGUAUCAAGAAAGCAAUUAGAAAAAGAUAGAAACAUAGGUGAAAACAAGUUCAAUUUGCAGGUUUCAAAUCUCAACUUCAGCAGUAAUUGUAAAUUUUAAAAGCAGUUUCUUAUUAGCCAUCUAUUCAGUUAUGAAGAUUAGAGAGUUUUUCAAUCAGCACACUUGUAAUAGUUCUUCUAUUUAUAAUGCUAAUGGUGAUAAAUAAAAAUUUGCCUAAUGGCAAGACAUGUCGCGUUCACAUGACACGAGAGGACUCACCAAUGAAAAUAUUCCAAAUCCCUGGCAUUGAUUUUUUUCAGGUUUAAUGCAAUUUAAUUUGAAACCACAAAUGAGGUUAUUCUGGGAUUUUUUGACAGUGACUUCGUUUUACCUGAAAGAAUGAUUAGAUAAGAAUAAUUUGGAAAAUACUGCAAACAUGAGCACAUUAGAAAACAAAAUUACUGAAACAGUAUAGCAUUAGUACAAGAGUAGCCAAACAUUGCUAUAACAAGAGAGAAAAAUCCAGAAACAAACAAAAACAUGAUAAGAGAGGCAUUUCAAAUCCAUGGGAAAAUAAAGUAUUCAAUCUGUGCUGGGUCGAACACUAGAAAAAAAUAACAUUAAAUUCAUCCUCAUCCAACAUACCAAUUCUUUUUUAAUCCUUUUCCAAGAAAGAAAUGAUAGAAAUUUUGGUAGCUAAGACUACAUAAAAGCUAUUUAUUCUUGUAUGUUAAAGAAAACAGAAAUUAUUAAGUACCCAAUGGGGAAAAUAUUUGCACAGUGUAAAACCUACAAGGCAUUAAUAACCUUAAUGUAUACAGUUUCCUCAUGAUCAGUUAAAGAAAGGGAAAUUCUCCUUCAGAAAGAAAUGGAGUAAGAGACAUACACAAUUAAAAAAAAAAAAAAGAAAAUGAGCAAUAAAUAUUUCAAAACUAUUAAGUCUUACUAGCAAAUAUAAUUAUGCAAAUUAAAGCAAGCAAUAAUUUAUUUUACUGACAAAUAUGUAUGUAUAUAUUUAAUUUGAUUUUUCUGUGCAAGCAGAGUACAUGCAUGCUGGUUGUCCUCUCCAGUGACAGAAUCCCGGAGAAAAAACUGGCAUUCGCUAUCAGAAAUAUUUAAUUUGCAUAUUUUUUGACCUAGCAAGUAUCUUCCAUGUGUUUAUAUCAAUGUUAUUUUUCUAUUUCUUUGUGCAUUUCAUUAUAAAAUAUGUAUAUUUCCUAGAUACACAAAUAGAUUUCAUUUACAGUAGUCCCCCCUUAUCUACAUUCCGAGGCCCUCAGUGGAUACCUGAAACCUCAGAAAGUACUGAACCCUGUAUAUUUUAUGUUUUUUCCUAUACAUACAUAAGCGUGAUAAAGUUUAAUUUAUAAAUUAGGCACAGGAAGGAAUUAACAACUAAUAUAACAAAAACAAUAUAAAAAUAUGCCAGCAUUACUUGUGUCAGCGUGUUAAUAGUAACCCUUAUUCUACUUGUAAGGGUUACUAAGCAAAAUCGUGGUGCUUGUAUUCAAGUAGCCCUUAUUUUACUUAACAGUCUCAAAGUCCUUGUGCUUAGUCCCUGUGUUAUCAGUCCUCUCUGAUAACAAAAAUGGCCAAAUAAUUGACUAACAUGGGGGUAGUGUAUAUAGUAUAAAAAAGCUGAACUAAGGGAUAAUUUAUGUCCCAGGCAAGAUGAAGCAGGAUGGCACACAAUUUCAUCACACUAUUCAGAACAAUGUGCAAACAUGCAAUUUAAAAUCUAUGCAUUAUUUAUUUCUGGAAUUUUCCAUUUAGUAUUUUUGGACUGUUGUUGACCAUGGGUAACUGAAACUUGGGAAAACAAAACCACAAAUGCAGGGAACUACUAUAUUGUAAAAACCUUGAAACAUGCUCAUGAGCAAAGAAAAAAAAAAAAAAGGAAAAGAAAAAGAAAAAAGCUUUGUAAUCACCAACACCUUGAGGAAAAUUCAUGCUGACACUGAUUUUAUCAUGUAUUUCCCCCCAAAAUGGGGUCAUAAAAUGCUUUUUACCUACUUUUUUUCUCCCUUUAUUUAAUGUGGAAAUAAUGAAUAGAUAAAUAUAUUAUUGUUUUACUUCUGAGCAUAUUUUACCCUAUAGAUAUGAAAUAACUUGUUUAAACACAUUUAACAUUUUGGGGAUUCUUUUCAUAUUCUUAACAAGUCUAGCUAAAUCUUAUUGGAUAUAUCUCUUUGUAAACUUUUCAAUUAUUCCUAUUAAAAUUAUUAACUGUAGGAUUGUUUUAUCAAAGACUCGGAGAAUUUUUAAUGUAUAUUGCCAAUGAGCUACCACAAUGGUGGCCUCUAUUACACUUCUAUCUGCCUAUUUCUCAGCUUUUAAAAAAUAUCAUAACAUCACAUUUUUUAAAAAUGCUAGCAUUAUUCAUUUCAUAUGUACUUUUUUGAGAAGUGGUAAAGUUUUAUGUGCCUGUUCACUAAUAGUUUGUAUUUAUUCUCUUGAGAGUGUAAAUUUCAUAUCCUUAACUCUUUUUUUUUUUAAAUUGGGACUCAUGUUUUCCUUACUAAUAGUGAUGGUUAAUACUGAGUGUCAAGUUGAUUGGACUGAAGGAUACAAAGUAUUGAUGAUCCUGGGUGUGUCU